rnacentral:rRNA from 1 species
AGAGCACAGGGAGAAUGCCUUGGCACCAAGAGCCGAAGAAGGACGUGGUUAACUGCGAAAAGCCAUGGGGAGCUGUAAGCAAGCAUUGAUCCAUGGAUAUCCGAAUGGGGAAACCCGGCACAUGCGAGUGUGUCACCGUUACAUGAAUCCAUAGUGUAACGGGGGGAACCCGGUGAACUGAAACAUCUAAGUAGCCGGAGGAAGAGAAAGAAACAUCGAUUUUCUAAGUAGCGGCGAGCGAACGGGAAAGAGCCCAAACCGCGGGUCUACGGACCUGCGGGGUAAGGACCUGCAGGAUCGGGGAGCUGUAUAGUCGAAGCGCGCUGGAAAGCGCAGCCGGAGACGGUAAAAGCCCGGUAGGCGAAAUACAGCGAACGAGGCAGGGAUCCGGAGUACCACAGGACACGAGGAAUCCGGUGGGAAGGCGGGGGGACCACCCCCCAAGGCUAAAUACUACUUGGUGACCGAUAGCGAAGAGUACCGUGAGGGAAAGGUGAAAAGCACCCCGGGAGGGGAGUGAAAGAGAACCUGAAACCCUGUGUUUACAAGCAGAGGGAGCGAAAGCGACCUCGUACUUUUUGUAGAACGGGCCGGCGAGUUACUAUAUGUUGCGAGGUUAAGGUGUAGAGCACUGGAGCCGCAGGGAAACCGAGUCUCAAACGGGCGAAGAGUAGCAUAUAGUAGACCCGAAACCGGGUGACCUAUCCAUGGACAGGUUGAAGCGGCGGUAAGACGCCGUGGAGGACCGAACCAGACGUAUGUUGAAAAAUGCGGGGAUGAGCUGUGGAUAGCGGAGAAAUUCCAAUCGAACCCGGAGAUAGCUGGUUCUCCCCGAAAUAGCUUUAGGGCUAGCCUCGAUCGAAGGAUUACCGGGGGUAGAGCACUGAAUGGGCUAGGGGGCCACAAAGCUUACCGAACCCUAUCAAACUGCGAAUACCGGAGAAUCAGGAUCGGGAGUCACACAGUGGGAGAUAAGUUUCAUUGUGGAAAGGGAAACAGCCCAGACCAACGACUAAGGUCCCGAAGUGACGGUUAAGUGGGAAAGGAUGUGCAACUGCACAGACAACCAGGAUGUUGGCUUAGAAGCAGCCACACAUUUAAAGAGUGCGUAAUAGCUCACUGGUCGAGUGGAUGUGCGCCGAAAAUGUAGCGGGGCUAAACCGAACACCGAAGUCUUGGGAUGGCGGAAGCCAUCGGUAGGGGAGCAACGAAUACGGGCAGAAGCGGGAUUGUGAGAGACCGUGGACCGUAUUGGAGAGAGAAUGCCGGCAUGAGUAGCGAGAGCGAAGUGAGAAUCUUCGCCGUCGAAAGCCUAAGGUUUCCUGAGGAAGGUUCGUCCUCUCAGGGUAAGUCGGGACCUAAGCCGAGGACAGAAGUCGUAGGUGAUGGACAACAGGUUGAUAUUCCUGUACCGCCGACACACGUUAGACAGAGGCAGUGACACAGAAGGAUAGGCAGAGCGGCCGAAUGGUAGAGGCCGUCCAAGCGGCAAGGGAGCAGCGUAGUGAAGUACGCGUUGCAAUUCCGAGUCGUGAUGGGGACUGAAAACAAGUAGGGAAGCUGCUGAAUUCACGCUGGCGAGAAAAGCUGCUAUGGAGUGUGAAGGCGCCCGUACCGCAAACCGACACAGGUGGGCGAGGAGAGAAUCCUAAGACGAGCGGGAGAACCCUUGUUAAGGAACUCGGCAAAAUGACCCCGUAACUUCGGGAGAAGGGGUGCCUCGAAAGAGGCCGCAGAGAAUUGGCCCAAGCAACUGUUUAGCAAAAACACAGGUCUAUGCGAAACCGAAAGGUGAGGUAUAUGGGCUGACGCCUGCCCGGUGCUGGAAGGUUAAGAGGAGAGGUUAGCGCAAGCGAAGCUUUGAAUUUAAGCCCCAGUAAACGGCGGCCGUAACUAUAACGGUCCUAAGGUAGCGAAAUUCCUUGUCGGGUAAGUUCCGACCCGCACGAAAGGCGUAAUGAUUUGAGCGCUGUCUCGACAAUGCAUCCGGUGAAAUUGAAGUACCAGUGAAGAUGCUGGUUACCUGCGCCAGGACGGAAAGACCCCAUGGAGCUUUACUCCAGCUUGAUACUGGGAUUCGGUAUUGCAUGUACAGGAUAGGUGGGAGGCUAGGAAGUGAUAACGCCAGUUGUCACGGAGCCGCUGUUGGGAUACCACCCUUGCAGUAUUGGAUUUCUAACCAGCAGCCGUGACCCGGCUGGGGGACAAUGUCAGGCGGGGAGUUUGACUGGGGCGGUCGCCUCCGAAAGGGUAUCGGAGGCGCUCAAAGGUUCCCUCAGAAUGGUUGGAAACCAUUCGAAGAGUGCAAAGGCAGAAGGGAGCUUGACUGCGACACCGACGGGUGGAGCAGGUACGAAAGUAGGACUUAGUGAUCCGGUGGUAUAAAGUGGGAUUGCCAUCGCUCAACGGAUAAAAGCUACCCUGGGGAUAACAGGCUUAUCACUCCCAAGAGUUCACAUCGACGGAGUGGUUUGGCACCUCGAUGUCGGCUCAUCGCAUCCUGGGGCUGUAGUAGGUCCCAAGGGUUGGGCUGUUCGCCCAUUAAAGCGGUACGCGAGCUGGGUUCAGAACGUCGUGAGACAGUUCGGUCCCUAUCCUCCGUGGGCGCAGGAGAAUCGAUGGAGGCUGCCCCCAGUACGAGAGGACCGGGGUGGACGCACCUCCGGUGAACCGGUUGUCGACCAACGGCACGGCCGGGUAGCCGCGUGCGGCGCGGAUAACCGCUGAAGGCAUCUAAGCGGGAAGCCGUUCCAGGGAUUAGUUCUCCUUCCGGUAAGGGCCCAGGUAGACUACCUGGUCGAUAGACGGCAGGUGCAAGGCUGGCGACAGCCUCAGCCGAGCCGCACUAAUCGCCCGAGCUCUUCCGGA